rnacentral:lncRNA from 1 species
AAGGCACCAUGCAAAACGCACUUGUUGAAUAGAACGGAGAAAAAUCUAAAGCGUUUACAUAAGCUAAACGAUACCAUGUUCCAAACAAUCUACUUCAUCUAACGGUGAAGUUUCCAUCAACUGCUUGGUAUCUUAGUACAAAGCUUAAAUGAUCAAAUCCUACCUGAAUGGUAGAAUCCGCAAAGUUGUUUUGAAAAAACAUUAAAUGCUCAACGUUUAAAAAUAACAAAACUGACAAGAGAAAAGAUAUAUCUACUGCAUGCAUAUCUACUCUACUUUGUGCAGAUUGUCUAUCACAUGCAUCCAUAUGCUCCAUCCUAUACAAAUAAGAAGUGAAAGUUAGGAAUAAAUAAGACAAUCAUGGAAUGUUCUCUCUAUCAAAACGUACCAAGAAAAUCGUACCACCUACCAAGAAAAUAUGGAAAACAAAGAAUACAACCUCAACAGUUCAUCCCAACCCAAAGAAGAGUCGUCUACAAAAAGCAGUACAACUCAAGACAACUUCAAGGGCAAUAUAUAAUAGAAGUUUGCUAACCGACUUCGAAAAAGAAAUGAAUAACUUUGAAUGCUCAUUAUAAUACUCCGACAGUGAGGUAAAUUUUUUUGACUUAGACUCCGUUACUGAAGCCUGUUAUAGAGUGUUGACAAAGUGUACAAAACUAGCUUAAACCUAUCAAAAAGUAAGGAAACAAAAUAAAAGAAUCUUAAAAGGAGAUGAUGCUUUGAAAAAUGAACUGAAAUCAUCCAAGAUAGAAGCCAAAACAUUAGAAAAAGAUAUCAACAAAUUAGAAAGUGAACUAGCAAUCUCAGAAAGAGAGAAUUAUAGACUAGUGCGGAAGAACAAAAUUUUGGUGGAAAACGCAACAAUUGGAAAAGAUGUUAGAUGCCUUGAGUUUCUUGCACUCAAAAAUAAUAUCUUGCUCAAGACAUCAAACAAAACGUUUUGAGAAAUUAAAGGUUUAAAGCUACUUGUCAAGAGUAGCAAAUGUUUUGCACACCAAGAGAUCCUAAGCAUAAUAACAGUAGUAUAAAUUAUGUCUCCAAAUCAAAAAAAUAUAUCCUCGAAUAUAGAUCUCAUAUACAAGGGAAACCACACAAAUAAAUAUGAAUAACAAAAUAGGACCCAGAACUAGAUAGGCACCAAAGAAUUAAAUUCUUUUGCUUGCAGAAGUGUUAGACGAUCGAGUGGAAACUCCGAUUAUGAAACCUGGCAAGUGGCUUCUAAUAGUACACAAGGGAAGGAAAGUGUAUAUCCCUAAGCUAGAAGAGUCUAUUAGAGAACAGCUUUUACAGAGAGAUGAAUAAGAAAGGUGAACGUAAUCUGAAUAUGCCUCGUACUCAUUUAUCAGAGAGUGUGUAAAUUUAUACAACAGAGUUAUGUAAAACAGAUAGAAAUAACAGACCUAAUAGACUUAACUGUCUUAGAGACAGUUUACAUAACAGCUAAUUGUAAAACCCAUAACACUAAAAUGAGGGCAUUGAAUUAACUUUCCAAUACACCCCCCUAAUUCAAUGUCUUCAAAGAUAGCACUCCAAUACUUGAUCUGAGGAAUUUGAAUCUUUCCAACUUGAGAGAUUUCGUAAAAAUGUCUGCAAGUUGGAGCUCGGUCCGGCAAUGUUUCAAAACAAUCCUCCCUUUAGUUACCAUAUCACACAAGAAAUGAUACUUGAUGUCUAUGUGUUUGCUGCGACCAUGACUAACCGGAUUCUUCGCAAGAUUGAUUGCUGAUGUGUUGUCCAGGUUUAGUUCAACACAGUCCAUAGUCUCUAUUUUUAAAUGCCUAAGAAUUUCCCUCAGCCAUACACUUUGACACACAGGAUGACAACCAGCUACAUAUUCAGAUUCGCAAUUGGACAAUGCUAUGACAUUCUGCUUUUUAGAACUCCAUGAGAUUGGAGCACCAUGGAUGAAGAAUAUGCUUCCAUAUGUGCUUUUCCUGUCAUCUUCAUCACCACCAAAGUCUACAUCUGAAUAGCCCACCAGCUUCACUUCUUCACGUUUCUGACCUUGCUGAAAUAGAAUGCCAAAACUUCAGUUCCUUUUAUGUAUCUCAUCAUUUGUUUUGCAGCAGUCAUGUGGCUUUUCCUAGGAUUACUCAUGAAUCAACUCAACAAUCCAACUCCAAACAUGAUAUCUGGACGGUUGUUGCAUAGGAAUCUCAACGAUCCAACCAGUUGUUUAUACCUGGUUCCAUCUACACCUUCUUCUUCUUCAUUGAUCCGCAGCUUCUUGCCAACCUCAAGUGGGGUUUCGACUUCAUUGCAUUUAUCCAUCAUGAACUUGCUUAGUAUGUCUCUUACAUACUUUCUCUGGUGCAUCAGCAGCCCUGUAGAGGUCUUAGAAAAUUCCAUUCCCAAGAAAUACCUAAGUUCUCCCAUAUCAGUCAUGUCAAACUCAGUCUGCAUCAACUGUUUGAAUUCUUCCAAGCUCGAACCAGUCAGCAACAAAUCAUCAACAUAAAGACAUACAAAUAGGACAUUGUUGUUUUUGUUUGUCUUCACAUACAGGCUGUGCUCCACUGAACAUCUAUCAAAACCUUUGCUGUCAAAGAAUGCAUUGAUCCUCUUAUUCCACGCACGAGGGGCUUGUCUCAAUUCGUAGAGUGCUUUAUCAAGUUUAUAGACUUGAUUCUCUCUUCCUUUCUUGAUGAAACCCGGAGGCUGUUUGAUGUACACCUCUUCCUCGAGAAAUCCAUGCAAAAAAGCAGAUUUCACAUCAAGAGCAAAUAGAUUCCAUUCUCUAAAGCAUGCUAUAGCAACAAUUAUACGAAUGUUUCUAACCUUGCGACAGGUGCGAAUACUUCAGUGAAAUCUAUGCCCUCCUUUUGUAGAAAUCCCUUGGCCAAGAGCCUAGCUUUAUGCUUCAAUACAGAACCAUUUGGGUUUAUUUUCUUCUUGAAGAUCCACUUCACGUUUAUACUCUUCUUGCCCUGUGGUAAAUCCAUCAACUUCCAAGUCUUAUUCUUCUCGAUGGAUCUUAAUUCUUCAGUCAUUGCAGCUUUCCAAACUGGUUGAGGCAGAGCUUCGUUGACAUCCAUUGGUUCACUCCCGGCAAUCAAAGCUAGAUGUAUUAUAUCUCCCUCUUCAUCAACUCCAGCGUUUGAAUAUAUUUCGUAAUCAUUUAGUCUUGAGGGUUGCACCACAGAUCUUCUAGGUCUUGUUUCGUUGUUCAUUGUCCCAGUGGUUCCUGUAUUAUCUACUGCUAGAGUAGAGUUAUCUACUGCCUGAUUAGAUCCAUCUAUCUCGACAUUUUUGUCUUCUUUGUCUGACAGUUGUAUGCUCACAGAAGUUGCUGACUUCUUCAUGCUGGUUUGGUUGAACUUCCAAUUCCAGCUUUCAUCUUCAAGCACGACUACAUCUCGACUAAUAGUUAUUUUCCUUUUGAUUGGGUCGAACAACCUAUAAGCUCCUGUGGACUGAUAUCCCACAAACACCAUGGCUUCUCCCUUGUCGUCAAGUUUUACUCUUCUCUGAUCUGCUACAUGACAAAAGGCCAAUGAUCCAAAAAUUUUAAAAUGUUUCACAGAAGUUUUCUUACCUGUCCACGCUGCAUGCGGCAAUGCGGCACAUGGUUUGGAAGGCUUUUGGUUGGACACCUGUUUAAUACAUGAACAGUUGUCGCCACUGCUUCUCCCCACAACUCACGAACCACACCCUUCUCCUUAAGCAUACACCUGACCAUGUUCAUAAUGGUUCUGUUGCGUCUCUCAGCUAACCCAUUGUGUUCUGGUGUAUAGGCUGUUAUCACUUCAUGGAUUACUCCAUUUUCUUGGCAGAAUGCUUCAAAUUCUCGUGAAGUGUAUUCUCCCCCACCAUCUGUUCUAAUCAGUUUAAUCCUUCUUUCGAUUUCUCCUUCUGCUUGCUUCUUGAAUUGUUUGAAUAUUCCCAGUACCUCAUUCUUCUGUCUCAUGAAAAACACCCAUAUCAUACGGCUGAAUUCAUCAACGAAGGUCACAAAAUAUUUAUUCCCUGCUACUGUUGGAGGUUCAAUUGGCCCACACACGUCUGAGUGCAAUACUUCUAGUCGUUCUUUAGAUCUUGAUUUGAGUUGUUUCCUGAAUGACCUCCUAGCUUGCUUCCCAAUUAUGCAAGUUUCACAUUCUCUACGUGGUUGAGUAAUGCUUGGUAACUCAUACACCAUUUCUUUGCUGUUUAGUUGCUGCAGAUCUUUGAAAUUUAGGUGUCCGAACCUAAAAUGCCAUUUCCAGCUCUCGUCUUCUUUCACAGACGAUAAACACUGUAAUGUCUCAACUACAUCCAGACGAACCUGAAACGUCCGAUUUCCUGAUCUUGCACAUUUCAGAAUCAGAUUUUUACCUUUGUCAUAUACUUCCAUCUGCGCAUCACCUCCCAUGAUGACAGUGUACCCCUUCUCUAUCAGUUGUCCUACACUCAGGAGGUUGCACUUCAUCUCUGGUACGAGAAGAACAUUUUCAAGUGUUGCAUGCAGCCCGUUCUUUCUUUUGAUUAUAAUCGUUCCAAUCCUUUCUACUCUCAACGUGUUGUUGUUGGCAACUCUGACUUUACUCUUCUUGGAUUCAUCUAGAUUCACCAACCAGCUUCUGUUGUACGUCAUAUGAUUAGAACAACAAGAGUCCACAUACCAGAUGUUUUGUGCUAUCCCGGUGUCCUCUAUGUUGGUGGCAACCAUGAGUAUUAAAGGUUCUGACUCAAAUUCUUCUUCUUCAACCACAUGAGCUUCUUUGUUUUGAACCCCCUUGUUCUGGGCAUUCUUGUUAAACCAGCACUCGUAAGAUAGAUGUCCUUUCUUACGGCAGAUAAAACAUUCCAUAUUCUUUUUCUCUUCUUUUGAAUAUUGCUUCCUCGGGGUAUUCUUUCUAUCUGUAGCAUUGCUUUUCGCUUCUUGAUCAUCUGUGUCUUUCUUCCAUUUCUUCGUAUCUUUGCCCAUCCCUUUCCACUUGUUUGAUUUCUUCUUUUCAUCACCAGAAAUAUGUUGAAUCUUCAAGGCUUGGUCAUCGUGUUUCUUCCUGCCAUUUCUUCGCAUUUCAUGAGCUUCAAACGUACUUUGCAAUUCUUCAAUCCUAAGUUUCUCCAAAUCUCUGGUUUCUUUAAUGGUUAUGACAAGAUGGUCGAAUGCAGCAGGCAAUGAUCUCAGAAUCUUUUCCAUUAUCAUUGCAUCUGCAAGUUUCUCCCCGCAGGCUCUCAUCUGGUUUGCUAUUGAUAUCACGCAACUGAAAAACUCGUUCACUUUAUCACUAUCUUCCAUCUCCAUGUGUUCGUAUUGUCUCUUUAGGGCUUGCAGUCUAACCUUCUUGACCUUUUCUCCUCCAGAAUGGCGACGGACAAGGAUGUUCCAUGCCUCCCUCGCGGUCACAACAUGCUGGAUCUUUUCGAAGUUUGCAUCGUCCACCCAUUGUUGUAUUAUCAACAAAGCUCUGUCGUCUUUUUCCUUCCAGUCUUUCUUCUGCUCUUCUUUUCCAGAGGCAUCAACCAUUGGAUCUCCUUCGACUACAUUGCUGACCUUCUGAACGCGGAAAACCACCCGCAUCUGGGUAUGCCAACGGCUCCAGUUAUUAUCUGUGAGUAUUGGAUAGUGCAGCGUUGAUAAUUCCGCCAUUAUCACAAGCUUCUUCAAGGCUCAAGAACGUCUGAAAUUGUACUUUCUUGGUUAGACAAGACAACCCUCCGUUCCCCGGUUUUCGAAACCUAUGCUCUAUGAUACCAUUAUUAGAGAACAACUUUUACAGAGAGAUGAAUAAGAAAGGUGAACGUAAUCUAAAUAUGCCUCGUACUCAUUUAUCAGAGAGUGUGUAAAUUUAUACAACAGAGUUACGUAAAACAGAUAGAAAUAACAGACCUAACAGACUUAACUGUCUUAGAGACAGUUUGCAUAACAACUAAUUAUAAAACCCAUAAGACUAAAAUGAGGGCAUUGAAUUAACUUUCCAAUAGAGUCAAGAGAAGGAAGGAAUCACCGGAAGAAGGAAAAUGCAGAACAGGAUCACAAACUCAGGAGAGAAAGGUGCGCUCGCUGUCCCUCAUUCUAAAACAAAUUUCUGCAACAUAAUCUUCAUGGCAUUAAUUAAAUUAACAAUAGUUACAUAUUACUUGGUUGCUUACAUUCAAUACAUAAGACCAUACAUCUCAAAGUACUUUAUGAAAAGUUAAAAUUAGUCGUACUAAACAAUGUGUCUAGACAUCCUUUGAAGUCUAAGAGAUACUAAACGUGUAAACCCAACCCAAUGCUUAAAUCACAAUGCACACCGAAUCUAGAAACAAACGUCAAGAGUCUUCAUCCAACGAUGCCACAUCCCACAUCAUUUAAGACAAAUCGUCUACAAACACACACCAUCCAAAAUAAAACCCUAUGGAAACUCACCUUUCCACGCCAUACUAUGUCGUACAGGACUUAUUAAAUGAGCAAUGACGAUUUAUUUUAAAAUCCCUAAAAAAUAUCAUCUCUCACAGGGCAACCGCCAAAUAAACACUCUUCGUGUACCUUAAGUUACCAAACCCUAUUCUCAAAACCUCUUGCAAAAACCUAAAGUCAACGAAAAACCACCCAACAAUCAUGGCCGCUCACGUUGAGGAAAUCAUCACCACUAAUGAAGUAUUUGCUAAUGCCAAAAAGGCAUUCGUCAUAAACCCAACCAUGGACAAAGCAAUUGAAAUCUACUUAGAACACUGGGUAGACCUCAAAGCCCUAAGAGUCGUGGAUAUGAAGAGAAAGUUUUUGAGCUGUAUUGUGAUGUGUCAUAUCAAAGACUGUGAUGUGUACUAAUGCAAGGAAAGAAACCAGUGGCGUAUGCAUCUUGUUAGUUGAAGGUGCAUGAGAAGAACUAUCCAAAACAUGACAUGGAGUUAGCUGCAGUAGUGUUUGUUUUAAAGACAUAGAGACAUUAUCUAUGUGGGGCGCGUUUUCAAGUCUUUAGUGAUCACAUGAGUCUGAAAUACUUGUUCGAUCAGAAGGAGUUGAAUAUGCGUAAGAGGAGAUGGAUGUAGUAUUUGAAAUACUACGAUUUUGAAUUGCAGUACCAUCCAGGUAAGGCAAAUGUUGUUGUUGAUGCUUUAGGCAGGAAGAAAGUACAAAUGACAGCCUUGAUGGUAAAAGAGUUAGAGUUGAUCGAGAAGUUACAAGAUAUGAACUUGGGAGUACAGGUGAAAGAAGGUCAUAUCUAGUGUAAUUAUUUGGCUAUCAGGAGUGACUUCUAUUACCAAUAUGAAGCAUUAUUACUUUGAAAUCAUUUUGAUGAUGAGGCACUUACAGACUUAAAGACUUAAAUAAACUAUAUUGUAAAUGUUAAAAACACUUUCUGUAGAAAUAAUUUGUAUAAGAAUUAUUUUAUAAUUGUAAGCACUUAGAAGUUUCAUAACUUAGUGAUUUAUUACAACAAUAAUCGAUUAUCAUAGGGGAUAAUCGAUUAUCACAAGUAAAGGUGGAAAAUGAUUCGUCUUGGCAAUAAUCGAUUAUCAUAGGGGAUAAUCAUUUAUCACCGCAAGUUUUGAUAUUUUCAGGAUUCAGAAAUAAUCGUUUAUCACUAUAGAUAAUCGAUUAUCACAUUUUCCAAAACUCCUAACGGCUUGAUAUAAUCGAUUAUCACUUGUGACAAUUGAUUAUCACUAGUAAUUGGGAGUUGCUUUUUCAUUUUUUGACCCCUGGCCUAUAUGGAAAAAAGGUACACAUACCCUUCCUUUAAUAUAUGUGAGAAUCACAUAAUUUCAAAAUUCUAUUUUGGCUUUCUAUAUCAUGCAGUUAUUUGAAAAUAUUUAAGUUUGGCCACGUGCUUUUAACAUUACCAAAGUCACACAUAGUUUAUUCUAGCAAGAUUAGUUACACGGAUUGUGUCAUUAGUUAUCUAGUCCUCCUCUAUUUCCAUGUUUGUUGUCUUCGGUGUAAGGAGGUAUAUUGGAAAUCUCAAGUCGGCUAAAUAAAUGACCAAGUUAUAAUGUACAAGUAGGUAUAAAGCUCACUUUCUGAGUUACAUUUUUGGAAUAUGUGAAUGCUCUUUGUCCUUAAUGUGAAGUAUGUUGAAAAUUUCACAUUAACUAAAGAUUUGCACAAAUUGUAAUGCAUAAGUGAAUACAAACCACACUUUACUAAAUUGAUUUUAUAAAAUUAAAUUAAAGUUGUUAAAAAUAUAUCUUAACAAAAUUAGCUAGGUAUAUCAAACCUAACUCUUUACCCUUCUCGGUGUCCUCAAUUUAAGAGAAUGUAUUAAAAAUUUCACAUUAAUAAAAAAUUCAUAUAUAUAUAUAUAUAUAUAUAUAUAUAUAUAAUUAAUAAAUUAGUUUAACUUAUUAUGAUUAUAAAUUAAUUUCAAAUACUCAUUUAAUUUCAAAUAAUUCAUUGUGUACAAAAAUUAACUAGAUUUAAAUAAACUUUUGAGCUAGUUACACUUUUACUCUCUCUUAGAAAAAGGACAUUAACUCCGUUUAAAGUAAACUGAUACGAAACUGCUUUUAAAAUUUUACACAAAUUUUCCAUUUGUAUAUUAAAUAUCAGUUUUCUUUCACAUUACACGUGUUCCUUCAUAAAGUUAGUGAAUGUAAGCAUAAUUUGAGAAAGGAUAUUGUAUUUGACUCAUCCAUACUAUUAUUCAGAUGAUGUUAAUUGCAUAUGAUUUUAAAAAAAAGCUGCCGAUGUUAAAAAUGUUGAUGUUGUACAUAUAUGAUGCAUAAUUGAUAAUGGGAUGUGAAAUAAUUAAAGAUGAUGUUUGUAAUUUGGAAGUGGAAAAUGAUAAAAGAUUACUUUACCUGAUUUAACUAAUAAGCAUAGAGAGAAUGGAGAAUUGGCGAGAAAGAAACAAGUGGUCAUCCAUUAUUUCAAAGAGACUCUGAAACGUUAAGUUACUGCAAAUACAAAACAUAAACACAAACACAUUAUCUAUAACUUCCAUUGAAAAGGAAACGAUUAAAAUUUCAAAUAAGAGCAGAAUAGAAGUUAACUUUUGACUGAUCUAUACCUUCAUAGAGAUGAAUGUACUCCGUUGGUUGAAUCUGAGUAGAGAAUAUGUCAUAGAAUGCAAGAGAUAAGAAUGAAAGCACAGCCUCUUUCUAACACUCAAAAUUUGUUUUCU